rnacentral:rRNA from 1 species
GAAUUAAUUUUUUUAUUAAUUUUAUUAGUAUAUUUAUUUUAUUUUUAAAUUAUUAAUAAUUUUAUUAUUGUAAUAGAAAAAAUUUUUUUAAUAAUAGUGGAUUAGUACAGUGAUGGAAUAUAAAAUAAAUUUUAUAAAGAAAAAUUAAAUUUUUGUACCUUGUGUAUCAGGGUUGAUUUAUUAAAAUUUAUAUAUAUAAUUUUCUCGAAUUUUAAAGAUUUAAUUAAAUAAUUAUUUUAUUGUUUUAUAAAUAUUUAAAAUAUUUAAUUAGUAAUGAAACGUUAUUCGUUUUAAAAUAUAUCUAGUUUUUCAAGAAAUUAAUUUAAUUAACUUCUUUUUUUUAAUUAUUCAUUUUUGAAAUAUUUAAAUAAAAAGAUUAAAUUUAUAAUGGGAUAAGCUUUUAUAAAUAUUUAUAUAACUUUUAUUUUUAUUUAUAGGUAAUAGGAUUAGAAUUUUCAAUUUUUAUAGGAUGUAAUAUUUAACUAUAUUUUUAUUAAAAUUUUUAUUUGGUUUAUAUAAUUUAUUGAAAUAUAAUUUUUAAUUUUAUAAAAUUAGUGAUAAUGAUUAAAUUAGUAUAAAAAAAUUUUUAAUGUAAUAAAUAUUGUAAGGCAUUAAUAAGGAACUCGGCAAAUUAAUUUUUCACCUGUUUAUUAAAAACAUGUCCUUUUGAUUAUAAUUUAAGGUCUGAUCUGCCCACUGAUUAAUUGAAUGGCCGCGGUAUUUUGACCGUGCAAAGGUAGCAUAAUAAUUAGUUUUUUAAUUGAAGACUGGAAUGAAUGAUUUGAUGAGAAAAUUACUGUCUCAUUAAUGAUAAUUUAGAAGUUAACUUUUAAGUAAAAAGGCUUAAAUUUAAAUAAAAGACGAGAAGACCCUAUAGAGUUUAAUAGUUUAUUAAUAUAUUUAUUUUGUUUUAGUUAAAUAUAUUAAGAUAUCUAUUUUGUUGGGGUGACAGAAAAAUUUAUAAAACUUUUUCUUUUAAAAUUCACUGAUUUGUGUUUUUUUGAUCCAUUUUUAAUGAAAAAAGAAUAAAUUACCUUAGGGAUAACAGCGUUAUCUUUUUUAGAGUUCUUAUCGAAUUAAAGGAUUGCGACCUCGAUGUUGGAUUAAAGUUAAAUUUUGGUGUAGCUGCUGGAAAUUUAGGUCUGUUCGACCUUUAAAACUUU